rnacentral:tRNA from 1 species
GUCUUUUUAGUUUAUAUUUUAAAAUGUGAUUUUGAAGAAAUUGAGAAUUUUGAAAGGCG